AGUCGUCUUCGUAUGCGAGUGUUCGGGUGUCAAACCCCUACGCGAAAUGAAAGUGAACGCAGGUGAGAGCUUCGGCGCAUCAUCGACCGAUCCUGAUGUUAUCGGAUGGAUUUGAGUAAGAGCAUACGGGGCCGGACCCGAAAGAAGGUGAACUAUGCCUGUGUAGGGUGAAGCCAGAGGAAACUCUGGUGGAGGCUCGCAGCGGUUCUGACGUGCAAAUCGAUCGUCAAACAUGGGCAUGGGGGCGAAAGACUAAUCGAACCUUCUAGUAGCUGGUUUCCGCCGAAGUUUCCCUCAGGAUAGCAGUGUUGAACUCAGUUUUAUGAGGUAAAGCGAAUGAUUAGGGACUCGGGGGCGCUAUUUAGCCUUCAUCCAUUCUCAAACUUUAAAUAUGUAAGAAGCCCUUGUUGCUUAAUUGAACGUGGGCAUUCGAAUGAAUCAACACUAGUGGGCCAUUUUUGGUAAGCAGAACUGGCGAUGCGGGAUGAACCGAACGCGAGGUUAAGGUGCCAGAGUAGACGCUCAUCAGACACCACAAAAGGUGUUAGUACAUCUUGACAGCAGGACGGUGGCCAUGGAAGUCGGAAUCCGCUAAGGACUGUGUAACAACUCACCUGCCGAAUGUACUAGCCCUGAAAAUGGAUGGCGCUCAAGCGUCUCACCCAUACCUCGCCCUCAGGGUAGAAACGAUGCCCUGAGGAGUAGGCGGACGUGGAGGUCAGUGACGAAGCCUAGGGCG
rnacentral:rRNA from 1 species